UCUUUGGAGGACUAGUGGUUAGGCCUUGCUGCUCUCACCACCGCAGCCCAGGUUUGAUUCCUGGCUAGGGAA
rnacentral:tRNA from 1 species